AAGAAAAAAAAAAUUGAUGGCAUUUUCGUAAAUUAUAUGAACUUGUGGGGUGAAUAUGGCAAAACCAAUUUUCAAAAAAAAGGGAGGUUAGUUUUGUGUUUGACUUUAAGUUGUAGGUCAAUUUUGCAAAAAUCCCAUAACUUUAUGUCUGUCAUGAGUAAUCUUCCUUUGGGCCUUUUGUGUUUAGUCCCUUAUCUAUUAAAAUAGAAGUUAUAAUUUCUUUCAUAUGUGAUUUUUUAAAACUGACCAUUAUUAGAAAAUCAUAUUUCAUUUAUUUCUUAAUAAAAUUUUGACAUCAUUACUAAGUCACCUCACUUAUUUUUUUGACAUCAUUACUAACCAAACAAAAUCGUACUCCCUCCGUUCCUAAAAGAUCCAUGUUUUAGAAUUUUCACACUUUUUAAUAAAACAUAUUAAAAAUUAGCUAUAAAUGUAUAGUUUUUUGUAAUUUUAUAUUUCGUAUAUUUUUAAACCAAUAAGAUUUUAAGAAAUGCAAUUAAUGUUCUUAAACUUCACAAUUUUUUAUUAUUAUUUGAUAAAAAUUACAUUGGAAAUAUAAAAUAUGUAUUUUUUUGAAACAAAUUUUUUCUCUAGAAUAUGAAUAUUUUAGGAACUGAGGGAGUAUGUUUAACUUACUUAUUAUUAACCGGAAACCGGUAUUCCGAUUUAGCAUACAAUUAUUAAGCUCUGUAAACAUGAACAUAUGAUCAAGUCCGGGGCCUCAUGCGCUAGCCCUGUGUACGAACCAGCCUCGGCGUCUCCUUUUCAAGCAUCCAGCCACCCUAUGUAAGGUCUUCUGUCAGAGAGAAAUCCGUCUCUCAACAUAACUCUUCUCCAUUCCUUCUUCUUCAUGUGACUCUGAAGCUUGAGUAUCGGAUUACUCGACCAGUGAAAGACCGUCAGUUAUUGCCUCGAGCUGUAGAUAUUCCUCGGUCGGGUUUUCAGUUCGACUUCGGUCUAGAAAGGACAGUCAUGGUGAAGGCAGAGAAAAAUAACCCUGGAUGGAGCAAGUUUGGUUCUGAGAAUCCUCCACCUGCUAAGUUUCCAGCACCAACACCUUCUAUGGUUUUGAUUAUCAUCAUUAUCAAUGGAUUCCAGUGCAAACGUGUAGAUUAUCAUCAUCAACAGAAAAUAGGACACCUUACUUUUGACAAAUAUGACCAGUUAGCUAUAGAAUUUGUCAUUGCUCCUGCAAAUAUUGGUGCGUAGUCUUUUGGAAUUCCUCAGCACAGUCUUUUAAAGCCAAAGGUAUUGCUGGGAUCAUUGUUCAUGCCGUUGCUAAGACUAACGCCAUUGUUGCUGGUUUGAUUGUUAUUGAAGCAAUAAAAGUGCUGAAAAAGGAUGUGGACAAGUACAGUCUGUUACUUUAAAACUUUCUUUCACCGUAUUUCAUAAGCUUCAGAAUACUUAGUAUCUUAUUUAAAUCAUUUUAUUCCAAUAUCUAUCUGUGGAAUGACAUAUUGCUUAGAACACCCAAGCCAAGAGAUACUUCUUAUGCCAUUUGAGCCUAAUCCAUAUUAUUUACGAGUUUGUGUGUUUGUUUAUGUUUCCAUUUUUACUUGGAUUUUAACGUGAUUUGAUUAGAUUGAAUGAGGUAUGAAUUCUUUGCAAUGGUUCAAAAAUGAAUUUUUUGGUAACUAAAAUUUAUACCCGCACGGAUGUGCGGAUCGAGAUCUAGUUUUAUAUACUAAAACUAAAGUCACCUAAACGAAUCAAAUACAACACAUGAAAAAGUUUUACAAAACAAUUAAAACUAAAAAUAAUUGAAAUUAAAAUUUCUUUGAUCUCCUAUUUUUCUCAAAAACUUUAAGCUAAGUUGAUUUAUUUAUUUUGCAUGUUUUCUUCAUCUCCUAUAUAAAUUAAUCUACUCUUCUCGGUUAUUUCUAAACGCAGAUAGUACUUUAACAUUUUAAAUCUCCAUAUCCAUUUGUCUUCAUCGACAACUACCUAUAUUCAAAGGUGAGAUUUCUCAAAUUGUUAGCGAGAAACUGAGAUUGUUUUCUUAAAUUCUCUUCAAAGGUGAGGUUUAUUCUCUAAAUUAAAAUUACAUAUAAACUGUUAUACUUAAUAAUACAAUCCAUUCAAGAACAUCAAACAUCAUCAAGGCAUAGAAAAUGUUUUUUUCUAAUGUAUAAAAUUCAUGAUGCAUCUUUAAGCAUUAAAUAUUAUGAAAAUUCACAUAAUACCAUAUUCCUAAUACCACUUUUCAUGUUUACUUUAAUCACUUUUAAAGAGGUAAAAAGAUUUUAAUAAUUCUAGAGUUAACUAAUCUAGACUUAGAGUUUAGAGUUAAGGGGUAGGAUAGGGUUUUGGAAUGUGAAGUUUAGGAUUAUAAUAAAUAUAUUAAUAAAUACUUUAAAAUUUUUGAAUUUUUUAAAAAAAGUUUCAGAAAGAAAUUUCGAAUUUCAAAAACAAAAUUUGAAAACAAACUUU